GCCCUUGUAGCUCAACGGAUAGAGUACUUGUCUUCGGAACAAGUGAUGGAGGUUCGAUUCCUCCCAAGGGCA
rnacentral:tRNA from 1 species